UACAGAGGGUGCAAGCGUUAAUCGGAAUUACUGGGCGUAAAGCGCGCGUAGGCGGUUGUGUAAGUUGGAUGUGAAAUCCCCGGGCUUAACCUGGGAAUGGCAUUCAAAAUUGCACGGCUAGAGUGUGGGAGAGGAAGGUAGAAUUCCAGGUGUAGCGGUGAAAUGCGUAGAUAUCUGGAGGAAUACCGGUGGCGAAGGCGGCAUCCUGGACCAUAACUGACGCUGAGGCGCGAAAGCUAGGGGAGCAAACGGG
rnacentral:rRNA from 1 species